rnacentral:lncRNA from 1 species
AGAUUUAAACCUGUCAUCCUUGACAUUUGGGGCAGAAACUGCUGAAAUGAAGGAGGACUUGCCAUCAAAGAACUGGCUGAAAGGAGUUAGCACACCACUCCUCUGCCCUGAACAGUUCUAAGCAAGAGGAGGAGCCUGUGGCAGGGCGUGAUAUGAAGUCCUCAGAGAUAGAGUGCCAAGAGUAGAGGGAGUAUCCUGGAACUUCAGUGUUUGCAGUGACUUGCUGCUUCAAGCUGACCUCUGAAGCGAGUAUACACAGGCCACUUGUACAUUCUUCAUCAAAUCAUUAAGAAGUCAAAUGAAAAUGACCAACCACUGUCUCUGACAUUUAUUAUAUAUAUGAAAGGCAUUUAGGAGAUGUAAAGACCAGGCAAUUGUGAAACAACUAUAAAGAUGCAAGACUGAAAGCCUCAAGAGUGACAUUCAGCUGCUCAGUUAUGCCAGCAAAAUGGAUUAGUAGAAGAUUCUAAGUUAUGGUGACUGAGUGAAGGAGAUGAUUGCUGGAAGAAUUAAAGCUGGCUGUCUGGAAGGAAUUUAGGAAGACGUAGUGGUUAUAUAAUACUGAAAUCCUAGGAAACUGGAGAGUAUGUAUUCUUGGCUUAUCAUUUAUUUCUGUUUGGAAAUGAUGGGGCAUUAUGAAGCUUUCCUAGAAGUUCCUAAAGGAGAAGUCAAGCAGCAGACACAUCUUCAUAAUGAUUCAGAAGACCUUCAGCUUACGGAGUGAAGCUUUACUGUGAACGGAGAGUAUUAUGCAGACAUAGCCUGCAGAGGAACUGCUGGGCAGAUUGGUGUCCAUAUGAAUUCCUUUGGCAAGAUGUACUAAAAGUUCUGGACUUGUGAAGUUAAAAUCUGGUAACAAAUGAGCUUAAUGAAUCAGAGAGAUGCAAACUUCAGCUGCAUGUGUAUGGGACGUGUCCUGUUAACAUUGAGAAUUACUCUUGGUUUAUGAUACUGCAAAAGUGCAGCUAAGCCAGACCAUAACUCUAGUGCCUCUGAUCAGGGCAAAAUUAGGGUUAAAUAGAACAAGGUUCUAUGGUGAGUAAGAUGAACCAAAAGACUCAUGGUAUCAGUUUUUAAAAUGAUUUCUCUCUUUCUUGCUCUUGGGCUUAUUUGCAUUUCCAUAAUUCCUUAAUCCCAGAAUAAAUUUAUUUUUUAAAAUAUAA